rnacentral:tRNA from 1 species
AUCUAAAUAGUUUAAUUAAAAUAUUGAUUUGUGGUAUCAAAGAUAUAAAAAUUAUUUUAGAUU